rnacentral:rRNA from 1 species
GAUGAACGCUGGCGGCGUGCCUAAUACAUGCAAGUCGAGCGGACAGACGAGGAGCUUGCUCCGCUCACGUUAGCGGCGCACGUGUGAAUAACACGUGUAUAACCUACCUGUAAUACUGGUAUAACUUCGGGAAACCGGCGCUAAUACCGGAGAAUAUAUUGAAGCACAGUGGUGAAUGGUGAGAGACGGUGUUUCUGGCACUUAUAGAUGGAUCCGCGCCGCAUUGGCUAGUUGGGAAGGUAACGGCUUACCAAGGGAACGAGGCGUAGACGAACGGAGAGAGUGGUCGGCGACCCUGGAACUGGGCCACGGUCCAGACUCCUACGAGAGGCAGCAGUAGGGAAUCUGAGGCAGUGGGCGAAAGCAUGACGCAGCGAGGCGACGUGAGUGAUGACGGUGUUGGGAUCGUAAAACUCUGUUAUGAGUGAUGAACAGAUGUGUCAGUAACUAUGCCCGUCUUGACGGUAAUUAAUAAGGAAGCACCGGCUAACUACGUG